rnacentral:rRNA from 1 species
AGCGAACGCUGGCGGCAGGCCUAACACAUGCAAGUCGAACGAACCUUUCGGGGUUAGUGGCGGACGGGUGAGUAACACGUGGGAACGUGCCUUUAGGUUCGGAAUAACUCAGGGAAACUUGUGCUAAUACCGAAUGUGCCCUUCGGGGGAAAGAUUUAUCGCCUUUAGAGCGGCCCGCGUCUGAUUAGCUAGUUGGUUGAGGUAAUGGCUCACCAAGGCGACGAUCAGUAGCUGGUCUGAGAGGAUGAUCAGCAACAUUGGGACUGAGACACGGCCCAAACUCCUACGGGAGGCAGCAGUGGGGAAUCUUGCGCAAUGGGCGAAAGCCUGACGCAGCCAUGCCGCGUGAAUGAUGAAGGUCUUAGGAUUGUAAAAUUCUUUCACCGGGGACGAUAAUGACGGUACCCGGAGAAGAAGCCCCGGCUAACUUCGUG